GGGCUUGACAUCCCACGAACCUGCCUGAAAGGGUGGGGUGCCCGCAAGGGAGCGUGGAGACAGGUGGUGCAUGGCUGUCGUCAGCUCGUGUCGUGAGAUGUUGGGUUAAGUCCCGCAACGAGCGCAACCCUCACCCCUAGUUGCGACCGGGUUAUGCCGAGCACUCGAGGGGAACUGCCAGCGUCAAGCUGGAGGAAGGCGGGGAUGACGUCAAGUCAUCAUGCCCCUUACGCCCUGGGCUACACACGUGCUACAAUGGCCAGUACAAAGGGAUGCGAGACUGCGAAGUGGAGCUAAUCCCAAAAAGCUGGUCUAAGUUCAGAUUGCAGUCGGCAACUCGACUGCAUGAAGGAGGAAUCACUAGUAAUCGCGCAUCAGCACGGCGCGGUGAAUACGUUCCCGGCCCUUGUACACACCGCCCGUCACAUCACGAAAGCUGGCUGUACUCGAAGUCGCUGAG
rnacentral:rRNA from 1 species